rnacentral:rRNA from 1 species
UACGUAGGGUGCGAGCGUUAAUCGGAAUUACUGGGCGUAAAGCGUGCGCAGGCGGUUCGUUAAGUUCGUUGUGAAAGCCCCCGGGCUCAACCUGGGAACUGCAAUGGAAACUGGCGGGCUUGAGUGUGGCAGAGGGGGGUGGAAUUCCGCGUGUAGCAGUGAAAUGCGUAGAGAUGCGGAGGAACACCGAUGGCGAAGGCAGCCCCCCUGGGCCAACACUGACGCUCAGGCACGAAAGCGUGGGGAGCAAACAGG